GAUGAACGCUGGCGGCGUGCCUAAUACAUGCAAGUCGAGCGAACGGACGAGAAGCUUGCUUCUCUGAUGUUAGCGGCGGACGGGUGAGUAACACGUGGAUAACCUACCUAUAAGACCGGGAUAACUUCGGGAAACCGGAGCUAAUACCGGAUAAUAUUUUGAACCGCAUGGUUCAAAAGUGAAAGACGGUCUUGCUGUCACUUAUAGAUGGAUCCGCGCUGCAUUAGCUAGUUGGUAAGGUAACGGCUUACCAAGGCAACGAUGCAUAGCCGACCUGAGAGGGUGAUCGGCCACACUGGAACUGAGACACGGUCCAGACUCCUACGGGAGGCAGCAGUAGGGAAUCUUCCGCAAUGGGCGGAAGCCUGACGGAGCAACGCCGCGUGAGUGAUGAAGGUCUUCGGAUCGUAAAACUCUGUUAUUAGGGAAGAACAUAUGUGUAAGUAACUGUGCACAUCUUGACGGUACCUAAUCAGAAAGCCACGGCUAACUACGUGCCAGCAGCCGCGGUAAUACGUAGGUGGCAAGCGUUAUCCGGAAUUAUUGGGCGUAAAGCGCGCGUAGGCGGUUUUUUAGUCUGAUGUGAAAGCCCACGGCUCAACCGUGGAGGGUCAUUGGAAACUGGAAAACUUGAGUGCAGAAGAGGAAAGUGGAAUUCCAUGUGUAGCGGUGAAAUGCGCAGAGAUAUGGAGGAACACCAGUGGCGAAGGCGACUUUCUGGUCUGUAACUGACGCUGAUGUGCGAAAGCGUGGGGAUCAAACAGGAUUAGAUACCCUGGUAGUCCACGCCGUAAACGAUGAGUGCUAAGUGUUAGGGGGUUUCCGCCCCUUAGUGCUGCAGCUAACGCAUUAAGCACUCCGCCUGGGGAGUACGACCGCAAGGUUGAAACUCAAAGGAAUUGACGGGGACCCGCACAAGCGGUGGAGCAUGUGGUUUAAUUCGAAGCAACGCGAAGAACCUUACCAAAUCUUGACAUCCUUUGACAACUCUAGAGAUAGAGCCUUCCCCUUCGGGGGACAAAGUGACAGGUGGUGCAUGGUUGUCGUCAGCUCGUGUCGUGAGAUGUUGGGUUAAGUCCCGCAACGAGCGCAACCCUUAAGCUUAGUUGCCAUCAUUAAGUUGGGCACUCUAAGUUGACUGCCGGUGACAAACCGGAGGAAGGUGGGGAUGACGUCAAAUCAUCAUGCCCCUUAUGAUUUGGGCUACACACGUGCUACAAUGGACAAUACAAAGGGCAGCGAAACCGCGAGGUCAAGCAAAUCCCAUAAAGUUGUUCUCAGUUCGGAUUGUAGUCUGCAACUCGACUACAUGAAGCUGGAAUCGCUAGUAAUCGUAGAUCAGCAUGCUACGGUGAAUACGUUCCCGGGUCU
rnacentral:rRNA from 1 species